rnacentral:rRNA from 1 species
ACACAUGCAAGUCGAGGGGCAGCGGGGGUAGUUAUACCCGCCGGCGACCGGCGCACGGGUGAGUAACACGUAUGCAACUUGCCUAUCAGAGGGGGAUAACCCGGCGAAAGUCGGACUAAUACCGCAUGAAGCAGGGGCCCCGCAUGGGGAUAUUUGCUAAAGAUUCAUCGCUGAUAGAUAGGCAUGCGUUCCAUUAGGCAGUUGGCGGGGUAACGGCCCACCAAACCGACGAUGGAUAGGGGUUCUGAGAGGAAGGUCCCCCACAUUGGUACUGAGACACGGACCAAACUCCUACGGGAGGCAGCAGUGAGGAAUAUUGGUCAAUGGCCGAGAGGCUGAACCAGCCAAGUCGCGUGAGGGAUGAAGGUUCUAUGGAUCGUAAACCUCUUUUAUAAGGGAAUAAAGUGCGGGACGUGUCCCGUUUUGUAUGUACCUUAUGAAUAAGGAUCGGCUAACUCCGUGCCAGCAGCCGCGGUAAUACGGAGGAUCCGAGCGUUAUCCGGAUUUAUUGGGUUUAAAGGGUGCGUAGGCGGCCUUUUAAGUCAGCGGUGAAAGUCUGUGGCUCAACCAUAGAAUUGCCGUUGAAACUGGGGGGCUUGAGUAUGUUUGAGGCAGGCGGAAUGCGUGGUGUAGCGGUGAAAUGCAUAGAUAUCACGCAGAACCCCGAUUGCGAAGGCAGCCUGCCAAGCCAUUACUGACGCUGAUGCACGAAAGCGUGGGGAUCAAACAGGAUUAGAUACCCUGGUAGUCCACGCAGUAAACGAUGAUCACUAGCUGUUUGCGAUACACUGUAAGCGGCACAGCGAAAGCGUUAAGUGAUCCACCUGGGGAGUACGCCGGCAACGGUGAAACUCAAAGGAAUUGACGGGGGCCCGCACAAGCGGAGGAACAUGUGGUUUAAUUCGAUGAUACGCGAGGAACCUUACCCGGGUUUGAACGCAUUCGGACCGAGGUGGAAACACCUUUUCUAGCAAUAGCCGUUUGCGAGGUGCUGCAUGGUUGUCGUCAGCUCGUGCCGUGAGGUGUCGGCUUAAGUGCCAUAACGAGCGCAACCCUUGCCACUAGUUACUAACAGGUAAAGCUGAGGACUCUGGUGGGACUGCCAGCGUAAGCUGCGAGGAAGGCGGGGAUGACGUCAAAUCAGCACGGCCCUUACAUCCGGGGCGACACACGUGUUACAAUGGCGUGGACAAAGGGAAGCCACCUGGCGACAGGGAGCGAAUCCCCAAACCACGUCUCAGUUCGGAUCGGAGUCUGCAACCCGACUCCGUGAAGCUGGAUUCGCUAGUAAUCGCGCAUCAGCCAUGGUGCGGUGAAUACGUUCCCGGGCCUUGUACACACCGCCCGUCAAGCCAUGGGAGCCGGGGGUACCUGAAGUCCGUAACCGAAAGGAUCGGCCUAGGGUAAAACUGGUGACUGGGGCUAAGUCG